UACGUAGGGGGCAAGCGUUGUCCGGAUUCAUUGGGCGUAAAGAGCUCGUAGGCGGUUCGGCAAGUCGGGUGUGAAAACUCCAGGCUCAACCUGGAGACGCCACCCGAUACUGCUGUGACUUGAGUCCGGUAGGGGACCACGGAAUUCCUGGUGUAGCGGUGAAAUGCGCAGAUAUCAGGAGGAACACCGGUGGCGAAGGCGGUGGUCUGGGCCGGCACUGACGCUGAGGAGCGAAGCGUGGGGAGCGAACAGG
rnacentral:rRNA from 1 species